rnacentral:rRNA from 1 species
UACGGGGGGGGCAAGCGUUGUUCGGAAUUACUGGGCGUAAAGGGCUCGUAGGUGGCCAACUAAGUCAGACGUGAAAUCCCUCAGCUUAACUGGGGAACUGCGUCUGAUACUGGAUGGCUUGAGAUUGGGAGAGGGAUGCGGAAUUCCAGGUGUAGCGGUGAAAUGCGUAGAGAUCCGGAGGAACACCAGUGGCGAAGGCGACACGCUGGGCCGUACCUGACACUGAUGCGCGACAGCAUGGGGAGCAAACAGG